AUUGGCUUCACGAUCUUCUAGAAGGCAAAAGCCAGUGCCUAACACAGCAGAGAUGAGCAGGGGAGAGAUGAAGAACCACCAGGGUUCUGGAUCGACGGCGCAGUAGAUGGAGGUCUGAGCUCCCUGCACUGAUGUCUUUGUGAAAGGCUUUGUGAACCACAUGACGGCUUGUUGAGGUUUACUCAAGUGCCUCCACAGGUUUAUGGUCCCCCAUUGAUGUGCUGUGGAGGAGACAUUAAUGAUCCUCGCUGGCGCUGAUCUCUUUAUCAAAUCCAAUAACAGGACCUGCUUUGUGUUCAGCUUGCGUGACGUUGGUUUUGUGGAGCGUGUUGAAUGUCUUUCUGUGAAGAUCAAGCGUUCUGAAUGUCAGAGAUGGGUUGCGGCUGGAAGGGCAUCCGCUGUGUAAAAACUUGCUGGAUAAGUUGGUGGUUCAUUCCGCUGUGGCGACCCCGGAUUAAUAAAGGGACUAAGGCGACAAGAAAAUGAAUGAAUGUGAAAAUUAAGGAGAGCAUUGGCUGUCAGACGUCUGCCAACAGGUGGUAAUGUGAGGAACUUGAACCCCCGGAUGCUCGUGAAGAAACUCUAGCAGGGCAUAUCUCUGGGAUAAUCUGACUUCAGACUAUCGCUCUGCACUGCAACACACUGUAAAGGAGAUGAGAAGUUGAAAGUCAGAAUGAGAAAGUGAGCAAUUCAUGCAUUUUAAUUGCUAUAAAUGGAAAUAAGUGUAAA
rnacentral:lncRNA from 1 species